CUUUGGCACAGUUGGCAGUGUUCCAGUCUUGCAAACUGAAGAUCCUGAGUUUGAUCCUUGGAAG
rnacentral:tRNA from 1 species